AGAUCUUGUUAUAAAGAUUUAAUUGUUAUGAGCACAACGGUGUAAUCGAAUCGUAAAUCCGAUGAGUAAUUUAAGAGAAAAUUUUAUUUGAAGUAUAGGUGAUAGAAAUAUAUUUCUCUACUUACAUGUUGGACUAGUAGGAUCGCUGUGCGUCGCUGGAUAGAGCAAAAUCGAGAGCGCGCACGAUUUACUCUCAAAAUAGGGCUUAAAUUUAUAUAAAAAUCCCCGUGUUUCUGUGUAGACAUACUUCUCGAGAUAACACUCAACCACACAACAGGUAUAUUUCUUACUAUUAUAAAGAUGUUUAUCGACGACAAACACCAUCAAACACCAACUUAUGGCGUAUUAUGAUUUUUAUAUUAAUUGUUCAUGUUGGGUUCCAUUUAACAAUAUAUUUCCUUACAUAUAUCUAUAUUAUUGAUUUGAUGUCCUCAUAGUAGGUUUAUAAAAAAGGAAUAAGUUUACUUUGGGUUCCUCUAUUUGUCGCCCAGUCCAAUUUUUAUCCCUUGACCGUAAAACCGGGUACGACCCGUCCUCCAACUUAUGAAAACCGGGCGAACGAGGUCCCACGGCAGUUUUAAAGGCGGUUUUGGCUGACGUGGCGCCUACGUGACUUGUUUGACUAGGUCUCCGUCCCACGUGGCAUUGACGUGGCGUUUACGUGGCAAUUAUAUCUCGGAAAAAUAAUAAAAAGCGUGGCCCCAGAUGUCAGCUGCACACAAAAAAAUAAUUUUAAAAUGGAGGGGGCCACGUGGCCCCGCAUGUCAGCCUCACUCCUCACUUCUUCCCUCUCCCUUCUCUCUCUUCUUCCCUUUCCCCUCUCUCUCUCUCCUUCUUCUCGGGCAGCGGACGGCGCGGGUGGGCGGUGGCGGGCGUGGUCGGCGGCCACCCAACGGCCCCUGCCGGCGACCUCCUCGGUGUGUUCGGGCCUUCGGGGACCUCCUUGGCAACGGGAUCUUCAACUUCGACGGGGAGACGUGGGUGGCGCAGCAUAAGACUACGGCCGGGCGUGCGCCGCCGAUUCUCUCCCACCGGCCGCCGCGCGCCGCUCCCUACCACCGGUCCCCGCGCGCCGCCGCUCCUCUCCCGCCCUCCCGCCGGUCGCCGACCCUCACGCACCGCCGCUCCUCUCCCUCCUUCCUGCCGGCCGGCGCACGCCGCCGCUCCUCUCCCGUCGGCCGGUCCGACGAGCUCACCUCCUUCCUCGCAGAGCUCCCGUCGGCCGCCGUCUCCGCCGGCGCGACGCUUGCGUCGGUCGCUCUGUCCGCCGGUACAAGCAAACGAAGAAAAGGAAUGCAAAAGAAAACAAAAGGAUAGAUAGAGGAGAGGGCGUCCAGCACGUCGACCAGCAUCAAGGCGCGCAAGCUCGAGCUCGCAGCCGGAAGCGGCAAGAGCGACGCGUCGUCGCCGGCGGCGGUGUCCAUGCCGUUGUGCUGCUCCGCUGCUAGCAGCUAGUAGCUAGCCGCGCGUCCCUAUGUCCUCCCUCCUGUGUAGUUCCGUCGUCAUCGACACAGGCUGCCGCCUCGCCGCGAGCUAUGCCCCCGUUUUGAGUUCGCAACAUGCGACAAGCACCAAGAAAGCCGGUGGAGCCGAGCAGGCGGCGGCGCGCGAAGACGAUAGGAGGAGCAGAGCGGGCGGCGGCGCGCGGAGCCUAUAGGAGGAGGUUGAGCAGCGGCCGGCCCGCGGAGCAAGAUGGGCAGCGGCCGAAGCGGGCUACAAGCUCGCCGUGAUGAGGAAGAAGAGGCAGAGCCGAGUGGGGAGAGGGGGAUGACAUGUGGGGCCCACGUGGGCCCCACCUUAUUUUUUAAGCAUAUAUGUGGGCCCCACCAUUUUUAGAUUAAUUAUUUUUUAUGCGGCUGACAUGUGGGCUCAUGAUUUUUAUUAUUUUUUCGAGAUAUAAUUGCCACGUAAGCGCCACGUCAAUGCUACUUAGGACAGAGAAAUAGUUAAACAAGCCAUGUAGGUACCACGUCAGCCAAAACCGCCUUUAAAACCACCGAGAGAUCUCGGUUGCCUGGUUUUUGUAAGUUGGGGACGGGUCGUACCCGGUUUUACGGUCAAGGGAGGAAAAUCGGACUGGGCAACAAAUAGAGGGAUCCAAAGUGAACUUAUUCCACGAUGUCUAUAC